rnacentral:tRNA from 1 species
GCAGAUGUAGCCUAGCUGGUAAGACGCCGGCUUCGAAUGUAUUUUAUAUCUCCCGAGAGAGCCGGUGCGUGUAAGCGUUCGGGGGUUCGAGUCCCUCCAUCUGCG